rnacentral:lncRNA from 1 species
GAAGGAACUGUCUGCAUUCCUCCCUGACCUCUUGGAACUAUGGGUACCUGUCUUGGACUCAGUUCCCUGAAGCUGUGACAUUAAACAUUUGUUGAGGGAACCCAUUUUGAUAAAGCUUGACAGGUUCUGAAUUCUCCACCCUGAGACCUGGGAAAAUACAAGAAAGAAAAUCACUCUAUCAGCACUGACAAUAAUUGGUGAGACAUUAGAAAUAUUGUAAACCAGGUAAAUGA